CAGCAGCCGCGGUAAGACAGAGGAUGCGAGCGUUAAUCGGAUUUACUGGGCGUAAAGCGUGCGUAGGCGGCUUUUUAAGUCGGAUGUGAAAUCCCUGAGCUUAACUUAGGAAUUGCAUUCGAUACUGGGAAGCUAGAGUAUGGGAGAGGAUGGUAGAAUUCCAGGUGUAGCGGUGAAAUGCGUAGAGAUCUGGAGGAAUACCGAUGGCGAAGGCAGCCAUCUGGCCUAAUACUGACGCUGAGGUACGAAAGCAUGGGGAGCAAACAGGAUUAGAUACCCCGGUAGUCCCUGUCUCUUAUAC
rnacentral:rRNA from 1 species